UACGGGGGGGGGCGAACGUUGUUCGGAAUUACUGGGCGUAAAGGGCUCGUAGGCGGCCAACUAAGUCAGACGUGAAAUCCCUCGGCUUAACCGGGGAACUGCGUCUGAUACUGGAUGGCUUGAGUUUGGGAGAGGGAUGCGGAAUUCCAGGUGUAGCGGUGAAAUGCGUAGAUAUCUGGAGGAACACCGGUGGCGAAGGCGGCAUCCUGGACCAACACUGACGCUGAGGAGCGAAAGCCAGGGGAGCAAACGGG
rnacentral:rRNA from 1 species